UACGUAGGGUGCGAGCGUUAAUCGGAAUUACUGGGCGUAAAGCGUGCGCAGGCGGUUUGUUAAGACAGAUGUGAAAUCCCCGGGCUUAACCUGGGAACUGCAUUUGUGACUGCAUCGCUAGAGUACGGCAGAGGGGGAUGGAAUUCCGGCGUGUAGCAGUGAAAUGCGUAGAUAUGCGGAGGAACACCGAUGGCGAAGGCAAUCCCCUGGGCCUGUACUGACGCUCAUGCACGAAAGCGUGGGGAGCAAACAGG
rnacentral:rRNA from 1 species